rnacentral:rRNA from 1 species
CCUACGGGGAGCUGCAGUGGGGAAUAUUGCACAAUGGGGGAAACCCUGAUGCAGCGACGCCGCGUGAGUGAAUAAGUAUUUAGGUAUGUAAAGCUCUGUCAGCAGGGAAGAAAAUGACGGUACCUGACCAAGAAGCCCCGGCUAACUACGUGCCAGCAGCCGCGGGAAUACGUAGGGGGCAAGCGGUAUCCGGAUUUACUGGGUGUAAAGGGAGCGUAGACGGGAGGGCAAGUCUGGAGUGAAAGGCGGGGGCUCAACCCCCGGACUGCGCUGGAAACUGGCAGGCUGGAGUGCAGGAGAGGUAAGUGGAAUUCCUAGUGUAGCGGUGAAAUGCGUAGAUAUUAGGAGGAACACCAGUGGCGAAGGCGGCUUACUGGACUGUAACUGACGUUGAGGCUCGAAAGCGUGGGGAGCAAACAGGAUUAGAUACCCCGGUAGUC